GAUGAACGCUGGCGGCAUGCCUAACACAUGCGAGUCGGACGGGCAGUCGUGUUUCUUGUGGCGCUCGCGUGAGCAACGCGUAAGAACCUGCCCUUGGGAUGGGAACACUAUCUGGAUACGGUAGCUAAUACCCCCUAGGCUGAGUAGCAAAAGAAGUAAUCCGCCCGAGGAGGGGCUCGCAUCUGAUUAACUAGUUGGUGAGUCAAUAGCUUACCAAGGCGAUGGUCAGUAGUUGGUGCGAGAGGACGAUCGGCCACACUGGGACUGAGACACGGCCCAGACUACUACGGGAGGCAGGAGAGAGGAAUUCGCCGCAAUGGGGGAAAGGCUAAGGAGGCAAUGCGGCGGGGAGACAGAAGUACUAGGGGUGAAGAACUGCGUAUGCAAGAGAAGAAGCAAUGACGGUAUCUGAUGAGAAAGCAACGGCUAACUACGUG
rnacentral:rRNA from 1 species